CCUACGGGUGGCUGCAGUGGGGAAUAUUGCACAAUGGGCGCAAGCCUGAUGCAGCCAUGCCGCGUGUGUGAAGAAGGCCUUCGGGUUGUAAAGCACUUUCAGCGGGGAGGAAGGCGGUGAGGUUAAUAACCUCAUCGAUUGACGUUACCCGCAGAAGAAGCACCGGCUAACUCCGUGCCAGCAGCCGCGGUAAUACGGAGGGUGCAAGCGUUAAUCGGAAUUACUGGGCGUAAAGCGCACGCAGGCGGUCUGUCAAGUCGGAUGUGAAAUCCCCGGGCUCAACCUGGGAACUGCAUUCGAAACUGGCAGGCUAGAGUCUUGUAGAGGGGGGUAGAAUUCCAGGUGUAGCGGUGAAAUGCGUAGAGAUCUGGAGGAAUACCGGUGGCGAAGGCGGCCCCCUGGACAAAGACUGACGCUCAGGUGCGAAAGCGUGGGGAGCAAACGGGAUUAGAUACCCGAGUAGUC
rnacentral:rRNA from 1 species